GAUGAAGAACGUAGCGAAAUGCGAUAAGUAAUGUGAAUUGCAGAAUUCAGUGAAUCAUCGAAUCUUUGAACGCACCUUGCGCCCUUUGGUAUUCCAAAGGGCAUGCCUGUUCGAGCGUCAUUUGUACCUUCAAGCUUUGCUUGGUGUUGGGCGUUUUUUGUCUCCCUCUUUCUGGGAGACUCGCCUUAAAACGAUUGGCAGCCGGCCUACUGGUUUCGGAGCGCAGCACAUAUUUUGCGCUUUGUAUCAGGAGAAAAGGACGGUAAUCCAUCAAGACUCUACAUUUUUAACUUUUGACCUCGGAUCAGGUAGGGAUACCCGCUGAACUUAAGCAUAUCAAUAAGCGGAGGA
rnacentral:misc_RNA from 1 species